CCACUACCUCCUGAGUCCUGGCAUUACAGGUUAGCACCACCAAGCCUGUUAUGUUUUGUUUUGUUCUUAACGUCCCCAGCAACAUGGAGUGAAUGGCAGAGCCCCGUGCACCAAAUCCUUGCGCCAGACGGAGACAUUGGAGCAAGCUGAAGAACCUGCAUUUGCAUGGUAAGCCCGAGUGUGAGGAUGUGGCAGUCAGAGGGACGCAGCCAACUUCAGUCCUCAUUCAAGAUGCAGGAGCUCAUUGGAACCGGGUGGACUGGUAGGAAUAGUACAACCAGUGUGUCCUGUCUGACUGCCCCUUUUCUUGUCUCUUCUACUUCAUGAAGUCUUUAAAGAGCCUGGAAAUGAAGGAAAGCAUCCGGGACUGGACAAUGAGGUUCAAGACAAAGCCAGCUUCAGUGAUGCCGGCCCUCACCAUGGAAGGGGACGUGGACAGAAUCCACCAGCAAUUAAUCAGGCCAGCAUCCAUUCAGCCCCAGAUGUGCAGAAUACAGAACACUAUGAACAAAGUCUAAUGUGCAUGAAGUAUAGCGAGU
rnacentral:lncRNA from 1 species